AUCCAGAUUGGUAGGAGCUUUGUAAGCCAAUGAUGUUAAUCCGAGGUGAGAUUAUUGCUAAUUGAAAACUUUUCCCAAUAUCCCGCGAUGACGACUUGAAACAUAAUCGGCAUUGGCAAUUUUUGACAGUCUCUACAGAGA
ensembl:snRNA U4 U4 spliceosomal RNA